GGCGUAGGCGGAUAAAUAAGUUGGAUGUGAAAACCAACUGCUCAACGGUUGGCCUGCAUCCAAAACUGUCUAUCUUGAGUCUGACAGAGGGGAGUGGAACUUCUGGUGUAGCGGUGGAAUGCGUAGAUAUCAGAAGGAACACCAAUGGCGAAGGCAGCUCUCUGGGUCAAGACUGACGCUGAGGUCCGAAAGCUAGGGUAGCGAACG
rnacentral:rRNA from 1 species